GAGGCAUAAUUUUGAGGUGAAGGGUGAGUUUAGAAGAGCUUUAAGGAAAAAAUGUUUUCACCCAGAAGGUGAUGAGAAUCUGAAAUGCACUGCCUGGGAGGGUAGUAGAGCCCAGCGCCAGCACGGAGUAUGAGCAUCCUGAAUCUUGCAGACAGAUCAAAUGUUGUCCUACCUCCUCCAGAUUAUGCCUCUGACCCAGUUAAACAUCACAACAAGGAAGUAUCAUUCCACUCUUACAGUAGUGCCCCAACUAAAGGGAUCAUCGCCCAGUCAGACAAUACAAGUUCAAGUUCAGAGGCAAAUGGCGUCAUGAAACCACCUUUCCUCAGUGGUGGAAAUCCUUUUGCUACAGUAAAGCUCCGACCAACAAUAACAAAUGACAGAUCGGCGCCAGUUAUUUAGUGCACACGUUGUAAAUGUAGUCCUUAAUCAGUCAUGCAUUUGAAACCAACAGAUGCCAUUUUAAAUUAAUGCUAUAUAAGCAAUCCUACCUUUUGUACAAAUGGCUAUUGAUAGUUUAUAUUCAUUCAUGUUAUUUAUGCUAAUAUCCAAAUUAAUCUCUACAGAAAUGCUCUUGUAUGAAUGAUGAUGGGACAAAAAAAAUCUUACAGUUGAAAGAGUACAGCAUUUACAGUGGAUCUUGUUAAUAGGAAAAACUUUUUGUUAGAGUGCAUUCAUUGUUUGAAAAUGCUGUAUUUUUUCCAAAAUCCUGAUGUUUGUGCACUACAGUUUAAGCAGAAAUUCAUUCACUUUGACGUCUAAUAUAUAUCUGAAACGAUUGUUUUGGAGGGAAAUCUGGAUGCAUUGCUCAUUAUUGAAUAUGGGAGGUAAGACUCUGGAGAUUGUAAAAACAUAAUCUGCUGGAAAAAAUGCAGGUCGGGCAAUAUCUGUGGAGAGCAUCAAUAGCCUUGCAUCUGAAAAAUCCAGAGCUUGCUUGUUUGUAAGGAUGCAUGUUAUGACUGGUGAUCUUGAAGGAACAAGCCUCAAGCUUAUUGGCAUGUGCUUUUGAAACUAGUGAUAUUCUAGAACAUAUUUUGUUUUAACAUCAGGAAUGGAAGCCAUAUUCAUAGGUGUCAACUCACUGUACCCAUUCAUUUCUUCUCUCAGGGAUGGAUAUGUGUAUACAAUUCUUAUUUUCUAAUCUCUGCUCCCUCUAUAAACUAUUUUUCUUUCAUUCUUUCUCCAAAAUCUUUUUAUACCCAACUGGAGUUAUUUAAAGUUGAUGGGGCUUCAUCAACUCUUUUUCACUAGUAUUCUAGAAUUUGAGAUUUCUCACUCCUUUGCUCUGCUAUUUAAAUUUAAUAAUUGAGAAGAUGCAAAUAUAAAAUAAGCACAGAAAAUAUUGGCUGGCCCAUUCGCAUCUGUAAAGUGAUAAAGGACAUUGACAAAGAUCCACACCAAAAAUGUUAACAGUUUUGACUGAGGUUAACAUUUUGGAUAUAGAACUGCCAGCAGUCCCUCUGCGAGGCAAGAAAUUAACCCAUUCUUUUUAUACACGCUGAUGAGCCUGCUUAUAUUUCCAACAUUUUCUGUUCAUUUUCUGAUUUUCCUUUUAAAUCUGCUACACGAACAUGCACACCUUGCAGUAGGAGCCCAACCAAAUUUUAUUUUUCCUAAAACUAAAAAAGAUUAGAUCGAAUGCAGUGCAUUUUAAAUGCAUCAGCCAAAGCUUUAUUGAUCUGAAGAAAAAUCAACAUAAUUAAUAGGUUUGUACUGUAUAUAUUUUCUUUUUAGUUGUUACAAAGUGCCAUUGAGAUAAUCUUUUAAAGUAAUGUUUGGUGUGUGCAUGUGUGUUCUGUGUUCUUAAUUUGUACACUUGCAACUUUUCCCAAUUAUAGUCAGAUAAGAUCUAUGUAACAAACUACAAGAUAUCAGUAAGGAAGUCUGACCAUUGCCUGGACCCAACAGAAACAGCACUUCAAUCCACUGCAGCACUUCAAAGAUUAAGCAAUUAUUGUGCAAUUGUAUAAUAAUUUAUAUUCCUUUACCUUUACUGUAGUUUACGAACUCAGUUUAAAGAUAUGGGCAUAUGUGCACUUAUGUAUGGAACAGAGGUAUUGGAAGUCAGCGCUUGUUCUCCUCUCAAAUAUUUUGCCAGUUUCAUUUCUGUUACUUAUUGAAGUGAUUUGCUUUAGUGGUUACAUGGCAUGAUGCUUAAAAUGUAACAGGCUGCUACUGGUGACAAUACUUUCAUCAACUUUAAAGGUGUACAUAAAAUGAGACAAUGAACACAAAAAAAAGUGUUUGGGCCAAAAUGCAAAUCUAAAAUAUAGAGCAAUUAAAAUAGAACUUGUCUGUUGUUGAUCUCACAGCUGAGAUAUGUAUCUGUAAAUUUAAAGUCUUAAUAUGCACAAACACUGCAAGGUUAGUAAGAUGGGGAUUGCUAUUUUCCACAGGAAAGGACCUUAAAAUUUACAUCUGCACUUUUCUGGAACAUCUGUUCCAAGUAACAAAUCAGCCUUAAAUUUGCCGUUUGUCAUCUUGAGCCUGUGCCAUAUUCUCUUAAUGUAGUAGUUUUUUUUUCAGAUUUGCCUUUUCUGUACUAAUUAGUAUUGUUCCUACUUCCUGGAAGGACUUGUCUCCAUUGAUUUUUCUUCAGGUUUGAAGUCCCCAUUUGUUCUUCCCUCAGUUCUCAUCUAUUAUAGGCCUUACAGCUACAAUCUGCAUUUGUUUCUCUUACCACCCCCCCCCGCCACACCCACACACACACACACACACACACACGUACGUGCACACACAUGGCGUUUGAAUACAUCUUUUUGACUUUGAGGACCAACUGUCCGUGAUACUCUGAGGACUAGAGCACAUUCAAUUGCCACCACAGCUUCAUCAGAUGUACCCUAUUGUUCAAAUUGGUAUUCAAGGAUUGUUGCUCCACUGUGACUGAACGUUAAGUAUAACAGUUGUACCAUCCCCAUGUGUAUCUAAUCCAAAGGUUGAACUCAGACCCAGGAACAAUGAUGGCUCCAUUUUUGAAACUGGCAUUUGUAUGAGCCCUAGAUACUUUUCAACAUAUUUCCUAGCCACCACUUUACAUUUAUUUUGCUUUGAGAUGGCUGGACCACUACUGCCUAUACUUUCUGCUUCCACACUAAAUAUGGGUUUUAUUCCCUAGAUGAUCAAUCAGACCAUAGUGAACAUGUCAUGACUAUUUGUGGAAUCUUAGUUUAGAGUUUUAGUCCUAUCUACUGUCUGUGAUCUGCCAGUGUAAAAUUAAGUGAAAUCUAGCACAGUACGCACUGAGCUAGAAAAGACUAUCUAACUAAAAUAACUAAAGUGUUUGCUUAAUACUCAAAAUGUGACUAAAAUGAAGAGAUGCAGCUCAAUUCCUUAGUUCUACAAUAUUAUGGAGACAAUGCUGUAAUUUGUAACUUUUCAUAAUGGAGCUUAUGUGGGAGAAGUAAAGACUUCCUGUUUAAUGGAGGUCACAAUAGUAAUUCACAGUCGCCCAUAAUCUAGCAAAGGAUGUAUAAUAUGUGUACAAUGCAGUGUUGUCAUGAGAAAACAUAUUUGAGUGUUGCUACAAAUAUUCUAUAGCAAGGAUCACAAUUAAGCAGUAUGGUUCAAUAUUGAACAAUUAGUAUUGCUUAUUUACUAUAAACACCCUUGACAAAGCUGUAAGAACAAGGUCUUCACCUGGUAUUAAGCAGCUAAAGGUACUCUCGUCUUCCCAAACACGGUAAAAUAUGUACUGUUGAGUGUUUCACCAUUCAAGUGGAUAGAUUUGUCAAAACUUGACUCCUCUUUACUCAUACAGAUAGUAUUGCAAAGUUUGUUAAACAGCAUUAUAAACCUAGUGAUAUUUUAAAUAUGCAGCAGGAAUUUACUGAAGAUAUUUAGGCUGUUAGAGAAGUUUGGUUUAACACUAAACUGAAGAAAAUGCUUAGAGUUCUGUUACUAAAAUAUUUUUGUUGCCCAUCAGCAAAGUUGAACUGAAGUUUGCAAAUAUAGGUAGUGUGAAUACCAUUAUGGAAACUUAUACAAAUACUUACAGCAUCUGCCAUUCUAAGCACUAUGCUUAGCUGAUGUAUGUGUUCCUAAAUUUUUCAAACAGUGUCCUGUCAAAUCUCUAAAAUAUCAUUAGUAUCUGUGUUAAAGGGUUUCACUUUCUUGGUGCCUAGAAACUGUUUGAGUAAUUCUGAAGGCGAUGCAGAUUUGCCUGUUUUGUGACACCUCAAAGCAACUCUGGACUGUCCUGCUGGGGUUAAUUGUAUAACAUAUUCUUAAAUGACAUGGAAAGCUCCUGUUUUUCUAUACUUUGUGGGAAACCUAAAGCAGUAGUUCCAAUAGCAUUACGGAUUUACCAACACCAUUUAAAAUUGAUUAGCUGGUUGUUCAUCACUGGAACUUUACCGGGUACAAAUUAGCUGCCUUGCCUGCCCAGAAAACACACUUCAGGAGUGAUUCAUGGCUGUAAAACACUUACGGUCAUCGCUAAGUCAUGAAAGAUAAUAAAUGAAAAGAAUGUCUCAUGUUUUCAUCAGGGCAAGUGAUAGGAUGACUGAAAUGCUCAACAUAAUCCAACCAUGAAAGAAAAAUAAUUCCGCCACCUAGCAUGAAUACUUUUUUCUUGUCUGGCCAACAAAUUGCAGUCACAGGUAAAUAGAAAAACUGCAAUUAAAUUAUCCCUAUAUUUCUGAUGGGAAUUUGAAGAUUGGAUCCACUAAGUACUUUAACUUUAAAUUGUGUUUAUUAAAGACUGUAGCUAUGGUGAUUUGCAAUAUGUGUAACUGUUACAUUAAUGGCCAGGAUAAAACUAGCAUUGAAAGCUUCAGUAAUAUGCAAAGACUACUGUAAAACUGAUUUUUAGUAGAACACCAUAGAUUGUUCUGAAUACAGAUUUUAACAAAAGUUCAUUGCAAACAAUUUUAAACUCAGCAACUAACCAGAAAUGAUGUCAGGUUUACAUUUUCAGAAAGCCUUCUUAAUAUGGGGCAAUUAAAACCUGACAUCAGGCAACUGUUCAUAGCCUGUCAACCCAUCAAUUUUAUUUAAAUUACACAGCCAUAUUCAAAAGAUUUAAUAAUUGAAACUUUAUCAAUUCAUGAUGGGGUGGUCAGCGAUGGGGGAUCUAGGACUCUGCUGGGCUAACUUUUUAAAUACUACUUUUUGGAAUGAUAAAACUAAUUCUAGCUCUUAAAAACCACAAGACACUUAUUUCUACAGAGUAGAUGGGACAAAGGUAAAACUAGGAAAGUCAUCUCCUAUCAUUUUGAGAUCCAGUUUUUCAUUUUCCUCCAAACUCAACACUUAAAACUGUUAAAUAUAAUGCUUAUAUAGGUAAAUAUUCUUGUAUCUAAACAGGCACAAUGAGUUGUAACAUCUGUGCAAUUAAUUAUGUAUAGUGAGAUUACACUACUGUUAAAAUGUUUUAGCAACCUUGCACAACAGCUACUAUUUGACUGUAUUCUUGCCCAUUUGUGUUUAUAACAUGUUAAAUUUAAUCUUUUAUACAUUCAGAUGAGUGUUUAAAGAAAGGAAUGUAUGGGAAUAGGUGUAUUUAUGACUAGAAAUCUAUCAUAACACAACCAGCCACACUAUUUGCAAGAUACCAAACAAUAGCUCUGCAACGAAGUAUUAAAGAAUGUAGUUUCUCAACCCUGUUAGUUGCUAACUGCCACUUGGUAGUGUUUGCAUUUUCCAAUAUAUUCCAUUUAAUUCUGAACUGACUGCCACCUCUGGAACAAUGGGAAUAAAAUUAAGGUGUAUAUUUUUUUGAGAACUUGAAGAAUAAGAUGCUGUUUUCAGUACAAAACAGAUGAAUAGAAAUGAUGAAUGAAGGCAAAUGUCAAAGAGACUUGCCGGACAGGAAACCUAUAGGAUCAGGUAGAAUAAUGGUUUUGACACCCUUGUAAUACUAGAUUAAAAUUUGACCCUGCCAUAUCUAUUUAAUGAAUGGAAAAUGAUACAUAAAAAUACAUUUAAAGAGUAUGAUGGACUAUUAUACAGUAAAUCCAACAAAAAAAUGUCUGCAUUGUUGUUGGUCACCAGUUGCAAGCUGCUUUCACUAAAGGACAUGACUCCAUAUCUGCCAUCAAUGAAGUUCUGUGAUUAGCAUUUUUUUUUUUUUUUUUAAAAAGUUGAACAAAACUAGAAAACGCACUUUUUUCCCCCCUAAGAUGGCCUCGUAUUUCAUGUGGUGAUUCAUUCAGUUUGGGGUCUAUACUUAUGCAAGAAAUGCUUGAAGACUAUUCCUCUGGUCUAAAUCAACUUCCAUGGUCAAGGAACAGAAAAUUUCAAGCUCGAUUGAUUUGACCUUAAAUCUCUCUCUCUUAUUUAUAGAUUGUAUAGGUAGAAGGUUUAUAGAUUGUGAUUCCACAAAAUUAGUCUAAUUUGUAUAGUUUGAAGUGGCCUAAAACAGAAGAAUGUACUGUAAAAGUGGUAAAGGUCUUAUAAAGUGCAAUAACUGAUCAUAACUUCAGUUCUUAAUUCAUUUAGAGCAGUGCAUUUCUGCACUAAAAGUGCUGGAAUUCUGUUAUUGAUUUAAACUUUUUCCUCUAAGCCUUUCACUUGUGAAAUUAAUGUUUUAUAACUUAAUUCUGCUGAUGUAUUCUACAACUUACUGAUAACAGCAAAACAAAGUAGUAAAAUGAUUUGGUGUAAGUGUACAGGAGAAAUGUUUGUUUGUUUUUUGUAUAACCAUAAAGUCUGACUUUUACUCAGA